rnacentral:rRNA from 1 species
GACGGAGGAUGCAAGCGUUAUCCGGAAUUAUUGGGCGUAAAGCGUCCGCAGGUGGCUGUUCAAGUCUGCUGUCAAAGCGCAGAGCUUAACUCUAUACAGGCGGUGGAAACUGAAGAGCUAGAGUAUGGUAGGGGUAGAGGGAAUUCCCGGUGUAGCGGUGAAAUGCGUAGAUAUCGGGAAGAACACCAGUGGCGAAAGCGCUCUACUGGGCCAUAACUGACACUGAGAGACGAAAGCUAGGGGAGCAAAUGGG